GCGCUAUUGGUGUAGUGGUAACACGCGUCCAGCUUUUCCACUAAGAGUGCUUCUGGGACGACUAUGGGGUUCGAAUCCCCGAUAGCGCA